rnacentral:rRNA from 1 species
CCCUUAGAUGUUCUGGGCCGCACGCGCGCUACACUGAUGCAUUCAACGAGUUAUCUUUGUUCCUUGGCCGAGAGGCCUGGGCAAUCUUUGGAACUUGCAUCGUGAUAGGGAUAGAUUAUUGCAAUUAUUAAUCUUGAACGAGGAAUUCCUAGUAAACGCAGAUCAUCAAUCUGCAUUGAUUACGUCCCUGCCCUUUGUACACACCGCCCGUCGCACCUACCGAUUGAAUGGUCCGGUGAAGCCUCGGGAUUGUGGUUCUUGCCGCUUUAUUGUGGCGUGACCGCGAGAACUUGUCUAAACCUUAUCAUCUAGAGGAAGGUGAAGUCGUAACA